AACAACACAAAAACCUCUGAAGACACUGAGAGCAACUUCCUUCUUCACCAGAUGGAAACAAGAUGGAGGCGUCAGAUUUUAGAGCUGGAGGAUUUCUGUUUAGUCAUUGGCUAAAGAUCAGGAGCCAUUUCUGCUGCUAACGCUAGGCUAACACUUUAGCUUUGGUUGUAUUUACCCAGAAUGCCCUGCUCUGCAGUCCACUUCCUGCUUUUGGAGCGGUCUCUGGUCCGCUUGGUGUUUACAUUCAAACCGAACCCAGCCCGAGGUUUGGAGAACCAGAGUUAGCUUAGCAUUCACACCUCACCAACCGGACUGGACUUUGACUAGGCAGACGGACUGGAGUCGGAUUAAAGCGGACUGGGCUGGUGGGAACGAUGCAGUGUUUUCAAAACUGCGCUUGAGUAACGAGAACAUCAAAAAGUUUCCCACCCUGCUGCAAUCUGACUGCAGUCAGGGUGGGAAACAACAUGGCCGCCAGCCGUACUGGAGCCUGAAGGAGCGGAGACUGGUGGGACGUCCUCAGAUUGGACAGCUGGACUGGGAACCAGUACUGCCAACACUGAUCCAUCCGACCAAUCAGUUGAGGGAGAUGACAGUUUCUGAAAACUGGAAACCCUGAGAACCAGAACCGUCAUCACCUCAGGACCCAGUAUGACUUUCCGCCCGGUAACUAAUGAUGCUUCCUGGCGAUUCAUGGAAAAUCUGGUCUGGCAUCCGGACCGGAACCAGAUCCCAGACGUCUGUCACAAGUAUUCCCUUCUGCCUCUGCGAUUAUGCGACGAAAUGAUCUGAUGAGGCCGACAGGAAAAACGAAGAGAAGAGGCUUCUGCAUCUGGAGACCCUCGCCCCUCCCCCACCCGCUGCUGUUACAUAACGCCCCCAUCAGCACGUUUUUCCCAGGCUUUGACUGUUCCCGGGUUUUGACUGUUCGCUGCUCGUUCCCCUCAUGGAUCUGCUGCUAGUUUUUGUCAUUCUGAAAACUUUCACCGGGUCGUUCCGGGUUCUGCUCUGCAUUUUGCUCCAGUUUUCACCGAACAGAAAGAAAAUCCACUCUGAUGUUUCUGCAGCUGAUUUCAGAUCGUUUCUGUGAACCGGAGCGAUUCUUCUGUGAACACUUUAAUAACCGUCAUGUUUCAUAGCUUCAUGCUCCAGGAACUCUGCGUGAUUCUUCAGCCGGCGGCGGCGGAGCGUCAUCCAAACACCAAAAACCCAUUUGGCUCCGUCCGGUCGCUAAACCUCUCCUCCUGGAAACACGGAGCAACAUCUGUUCUGCUCCCUGGAUUUCCUUCCAUGUUUGGAGGCCAGCGGAGCGAACGUUCAGAUUAAACACGCAGCGACCUCGCCGUCGUGUUUAACCUGAAAUAUGCAUGCUGGCGUCUUCUGCUCCAGCAAAGCAUCUGCUCAUUACGCGGCGCAGUCAUCAGCUGCUGCUGCUCCAGGAUGAGGUCAGGCGCCUGCGGGCCGAGCCGCUACCUCCAACACGGCCGAUCCGCCUGCUGCACCCAGACAUGCAUAAUGCAUGACUGCAUAACGCGGCGCAGGGGGGUCAGGCAGGAAGCAGGAAGCAGAGACGCUUCUGGAAGCAGCUGCUUCCCUUCGUCUCAGCAGAUCUGAACAAAGUCUGUCGAACUUUUCACUGAACAAGAACUGAGACUCAUUCUGGCCCAGAGGCGUCACCAGAAAUUAUGAGGGCAGCACGAAAUUAGCAUUCAUGCCUCGCCGACCGGACCGGACUUUGACUAGACAGACACACUAGAGUUGGAUUAAAUCAAACUGCAGCCUAAAUUCCUGCUGUUUUCCAGUGAAAAAAGCUCCAUAGAUGUAUUUCAUUCUUUAUUAUUAUUCUUAUAUUUGGGUUGCCUGUCCGGCCCGUUUGCGGUUCUGGUUCUGGUUCCUGUUAAUCAGCUGCAGGAGGAAAACAAACAUCCUGAAAUAAACCUGGAUUCCCAGAGAAGCCUGGAGGAUUUCUGGCGUAACAUCCAGAGCCGGGUCGACUGGCGCCUGCAGCCAAAUGUUCACUUAGUGAGAGGAGACCGCCGAGCCUUCAUCACUCCUCUUCCUCGGCCCGCCGCCGCCGCACCACUUAGCGCAGCGGCAGCUUCUUCAGGCGGCUGACCCGCGUUACAACGGAUGUCUGGAAAAAGUUCCGUAUUUUGUGUUCCUCAUGUCAGGAAGUGAAACGGAUCUAUGAUAUAGAUCUAUCACACAGAGAGUGGAACCGCUCAGCCUUUUUUCUACAAGUUCUGAUGAUUCUGGAAUGAAAACCCAGAAUUCAGAACAUCGGAUCAAUAAAAAUGAUCAGUUUGACAGAAAUGAUCAUCGCUCUGCUCUCAGCUCUGGUCUGGUCUGAAUUCCUGCAUCAAUAGAACCGGAACCAGAACCGGAACCAGCAGAUGACCUGAUACAACCCAGAUCAUCACUGACUGGACCUCCAUCCAGGUUCUGGUUCUUCCAGUCUCUGAUCUCCAGAUGAAAUGAAAACUUUACUUUCAUCUGAAAACAGAACUCUGGACCGGUUCUGGUUCUGCUCGGCCCAAAUGGCAGCCCAGGCUCUGGAUCCAGCCUCAGUCCACUCCUGGAAAGCUUGAAUGGAUUCUGCUUCAUAUUAAGGCUGCUGUUGUCGCUAUACUGAACUUUUUCCUUCCACUCAACUUUCCAUAAAUAUGCUUAUAUUCACAGGUUUUUUCAGCCAUGAACCUUUGAGUGUUCCCUUCUCUUUCAGUUUCAUUUCUAUUUAAUUUUUUAUAUAUAACAUUUCUG